AAGGCUGAGGUGUGAUGACGAGGCACUACGGUGCUGAAGUAACAAAUGCCCUGCUUCCAGGAAAAGCCUCUAAGCAUCAGGUAACAUCAAAUCGUACCCCAAACCGACACAGGUGGUCAGGUAGAGAAUACCAAGGCGCUUGAGAGAACUCGGGUGAAGGAACUAGGCAAAAUGGUGCCGUAACUUCGGGAGAAGGCACGCUGGUGUGUAGGUGAAGUCCCUGCGGAUGGAGCUGAGACCAGUCGAAGAUACCAGCUGGCUGCAACUGUUUAUUAAAAACACAGCACUGUGCAAACACGAAAGUGGACGUAUACGGUGUGACGCCUGCCCGGUGCCGGAAGGUU
rnacentral:rRNA from 1 species